rnacentral:rRNA from 1 species
AUUGAACGCUAGCGGCAUGCUUAACACAUGCAAGUCGAACGGCAGCGCGGGGAGCUUGCUCCCUGGCGGCGAGUGGCGGACGGGUGAGUAACGCGUAGGAAUCUACCUUUAAGUGGGGGAUAACUCGAGGAAACUCGAGCUAAUACCGCAUAAUCUCUACGGAGUAAAGCGGGGGACCUUAGGGCCUCGUGCUUAAAGAUGAGCCUGCGUUAGAUUAGCUUGUUGGUGGGGUAAAAGCCUACCAAGGCGACGAUCUAUAGCUGGUCUGAGAGGAUGAUCAGCCACACUGGGACUGAGACACGGCCCAGACUCCUACGGGAGGCAGCAGUGGGGAAUAUUGGACAAUGGGGGAAAACCCUGAUCCAGCAAUGCCGCGUGUGUGAAGAAGGCCUUCGGGUUGUAAAGCACUUUCAGUAGGGAAGAAAGACUCAAGAUUAAUACUCUUGAGAGUUGACGUUACCUACAGAAGAAGCACUGGCUAACUCUGUG